rnacentral:lncRNA from 1 species
UCGCGUCCUGCGACGGAUCGGUGGACAUGACCACCUUCCAUUCCGUCGAAGGUAACGACCUCCAUUCGACCGCGCUGGAGGCGUCACCAGUGAAGCCGCCGAUCCACGCCGACUACAUAACAAACGUCAACAAUCACACGCCGUACUUCUGCCGCCAGAAGAUUGUGGACUUCUGAUAUCUAGACGAGCUCCAAACAAGCAGCGGAAAGGAGCCAUCAUCGAUGUCCAAACUGGAUACUGCUACAUAAGGAACAGUGCGCGAAGCAAGUCUAUUAUAUGUGUAUAUAAUAGAAGGUUCGAGUUUUUCGGAUGAUGUGACCAAAACAGAUACGGAAGUGCGCAUCCUGAGCUACUGGAAUUUCACCAAGACCCACAUCGUGCUACGCUUUCAGUAAUAUGGUGCUUUUGCGACGACCGAGCAUCUCUGGUUGCACGGACCUUUUACCUCAAGUGCCUUCUCCUAAAGCGAUUCCGGCAACAAAAGAAGUUCUUUGUUCGAGAAUGAUAAUAGUGGGCAUCGAAGCCAG